rnacentral:rRNA from 1 species
GAUGAACGCUGGCGGCGUGGAUAAGGCAUGCAAGUCGAACGACCCAUCGUAAUACGGAUCUCUCUUCGGAGAGUGAAGUAUUACAUAUAUGGGGAGUGGCAAACGGGGUAGUAACAGGUAGGUAUAUACCAUUGAGUCAGGAAUAACUAUGAGAAAUCAUAGCUAAUACCUGAUAGUCUCUACGGAGUAAAGAUUUAUCGCUCAAUGAAUAGCCUGCUUAGUAUCAGCUAGUUGGUAGUGUAAUGGACUACCAAGGCUAUGACGCUUAGGGGAGGUGAGAGCCUGACCCCCACCAUUGGAACUGCGACACGGUCCAAACUCCUACGGGAGGCUGCAGUCGAGAAUCUUCCGCAAUGCACGAAAGUGUGACGGAGCGACGCCGCGUGAUGGAUGAAGUAUUUCGGUAUGUAAACAUCUUUUAUAAGUGAAGAAGUAUAUUGACAUUAACUUAUGAAUAAGGGGUUCCUAAACUCG